UUUACAUAGAGGAAAGUCCGGGCUCCAGGGAUAAAAGCGCCAGGUAAUACCUGGAAAAUGUGAGUUUUGGAAAGUGCUGCAGAAAAUAACCGCCUUCAUUGAAGGUAAGGGUGAAAAGGUGAGGUAAGAGCUCACCGCUGAUUAGGUAACUAAUUAGGCAAAAGUAAACCCCGCUUGGAGCAAGGCAAAUUUGUGAUUAAUCCCAAAAUAAUCACGUGGUUGCUGCUUAUGAGGUUAUUGGUGACAAUAACCCUAGAUAAAUGGCUGUACAAGACAGAACCCGGCUUAUCAACUAACUCU
rnacentral:RNase_P_RNA from 1 species